CUUGGUUGCUCUAGGUGUUCCUGAUGUGGCCCCGUUACACUCCCUCAGGUGUAUCCAAGCACAGAGAGUGUCUUUCUCCAGGGCUAUCAGAGUCUCUACAGCCACAUCUCUCAGAGCCGUAGUCACUUCAUUGAUAAACUUCAGAGGGUUGAACUGGAUACUCUUUUAAGACUCGCCCCAUGGAGAGGACAAAUUGGAUUCAUGACCAGACCUCCGAGAGGCUGCGUCUCCAGGCAGCUGGUGGGGAGCUGUCUGGAAACAAACACAUUUUCCAGCUCGCUCGACCCUCACAUUUCCAGAGCAGAAGGAUGGCUAUGAUGUGAGCUCAGAUUAUGUGCAGUGGUUGCUUAAAACUUGGUGGGUCCAAUGGAGAUGGAGCCAUGUCAUCCUGUUCGUCACCUUCAGGGUGUCCCGCAGCACAGUGUGGUGCGCGCACCUGUCUGCGUUCACCGUAAGUCAUCGCUGCACCUGCAUCCUGUGGCCUUUAUGCGAUAGUGAUCAUAAUGCACCAUCGUGGCCCACUGGUUUCACACUCCUUGAAUCGGUAUUCAGCUCCAAUUUUUGUUCUGUUUAACUGAAAGGACUGCAUGGUUCACAGAGACCUGGAAGUACAACCAUUAGAAUUAAAUUACCACGCAAGAGCGCCCUGAUGAUCUUCACAAAGACGCAGAACCCACGUGCUUUUGGAGUUGUUUUAGCACCCCGUUUGGAGCCAACCAGUCUCACAGCUCCCAUGAUGGCACCAGCUUUUUUUACACCUCUUAAAGUAGCAACAUGAGUUUUGUCUUCCGAAGGGUAAUUCUGAUUUCUUACAAAG
rnacentral:lncRNA from 1 species